UCCAACCAGAGCUGUUUUUUGAAGACGUAAACGACUUAGUAAAAGUCCCUUUCUGCCCUGCCUUUGCUUCUUUUUUUCUUUCACGACAAACUACUCGAUAGAGUACACUAUCCUCCAUCUGAUAUGCUGUUGAUAUCAUCUCAUCUAAAUCAACAGGCUUGCACAUGUUAACAACUUCUCGCAUCUCUGCCUUUAGGCCAUUCAUGAAUAUUCCUUCCAAUUGACGAUCAGUUAACCCAGUGACUUGUGUUGAUAGAUCCUCAAAUGCGUUAAUGUAUUGUGCCACUGAGUCUGUCUGCGUCACCGCAAAGAACGGUUGACUGGGAUCCCUGAGCUUUUCCUUACUGAAUCUCACCAUCAA
rnacentral:lncRNA from 1 species